rnacentral:lncRNA from 1 species
AGUCUCCUUGCUGUGGGACGAGCCUCUGCCUUCCUGCCAGAGAUGUGACUCCCGCUUGAAGGGGAUUUUUUUUGUUGUUUUGAGAUGGAAUGUGGGAGGGCUGAAGCUAGCUAUAUGUGGAAGAGACUAUCUGUGGCUGAAACUGGAAGGUUUAGGGAGGUGGAGCAGAAAAAAGAAAGGAAGGAGUCUCGCCGGAGCCUGCUGGGGACCGCGGCCCGCGGGUGGCCGCCCCGGAUGCCUGAAACCGAGGAGUUAAAUACAGUCUCCGAAGACCCGCGCAUCGAUGUGCAUAAGUGGUGCUUAAAAGAU